rnacentral:rRNA from 1 species
GUCCACGCAGUAACGAUGAUGACUAACCGUUGGGAGGUAACUUUCAGUGGCUAAGCGAAGCGAUAAGUCAUCCACCUGGGGAGUACGACGGCAACGUUGAAACUCAAAGGAAUUGACGGGGCCCGCACAAGCGGAGGAACAUGUGGUUUAAUUCGAUGAUACGCGAGGAACCUUACCCGGGCUCGAACGGCAGACGAACGAAGCAGAGAUGCGAAGGUCCAUUUAUGGACGUCUGUCGAGGUGCUGCAUGGUUGUCGU